rnacentral:rRNA from 1 species
GACGUAGGGCGCGAGCGUUGUCCGGAUUUAUUGGGCGUAAAGAGCUCGUAGGCGGCUUGUUGCGUCGGCUGUGAAAACCCAUGGCUCAACCGUGGGCUUGCAGCCGAUACGGGCAGGCUAGAGUUCGGUAGGGGAGACUGGAAUUCCUGGUGUAGCGGUGAAAUGCGCAGAUAUCGGGAAGAACACCCGUGGCGAAGGCGGCUCUCUGGGACGGUACUGACGCUGAGACGCGAAAGCGUGGGGAGCGAACAGG